rnacentral:lncRNA from 1 species
GGUUUUUGGAGACAGGGUUUCUCUGUAUAGCCCUGGCUGUUCCUGGAACUCACUUUGUAGACCAGGCUAGCCUCGAACUCAGAAAUCUGCCUGCCUCGGCCUCCCAAGUGCUGGGAUUAAAGGCAUGUACCACCACUGCCCGGCAGGAACCAUCUUGAACAAGGGCAACCAGCCACAGUGGUGUGCUUCUCCAAUGUUCCCACUUAUAAGUGAGGAAAGUGCAUGUGUGCUUCUAGGUGACAGUGGAGUGAUCUGAGGAAGGGGUCUAGACCUGUGGUAAUAAUUUUGGUCUGAAUUAAACCAAUCCUAGGGUUUCAUAUUAGAAAUUAAUGUAUAUUAUAUAUUCUCCCUAAUAAUUUAUCCUUUAGUUGAAUAUUUAUGAAGUUCAAAGUUAUUACUAUUAAAUAAAAUCGAUGGCUCAAAAUGAUCCCUGUACUGUGGGCUCUAAGGAGACCGUGGGCUUCUGCCGAGCUAUCCAGUACUCCAGUUUACAGCUUAAAGUUGAGUGUAUUUUCUACUUUAUUAAGCAGUCCUUGCGUUAUGACUUAUAAGUAGUACCUCGGAUAAUCCCUGAGAGAGUGCCAGCCCCUCUCUGAGAGGUUGGAGUGCUAGCUCUGUAGCUCAUGGGGAGCAAAGAGGAGCCCCAGAUGGAUGAGGAGAAGGAAGGAGUGGCUGCUCUCAGGAGACGCUUGGGGGUAGCAUGAAGCACCUGGGUUCCGGUGAGGGGAGAUCUGCUCAGCUCGGUCCCGGCAAGAACAUGGCCAACCCCACUGUAAUCAGGCUUGGUUAGAGGCUAUUCUGGGAGAGGAAGUUGUGCAGCCCAGAUAAAACACGGGGGCUGAUUGGUCACUCUAGCUGUAGCCAUAGAUGGGCGGAGCAGAAACAAGGCCUAAUUUGGUGACAUGGAGGCUGUCUUCUAGCGGGAGGAAGGCAGCCCAUCAUUUGGGUCCAGGGCAGAAUUUCUCUCUUGGUGCCAGACACCACACUGGAACACUUAGGAGAGCUGGGCAGAGGAGACUGUGUGGAUAGGCUGGUACUUAGUGGAGGAGUAGGUUCACACUCAUCUCUUGUUUAAAAAAAAUCAGAAAUUCUUAACCUUCAGUGAAGAGCUUGGAAGACAGCCUCCCAACAUGAUUGACAUGGAGCCCUUAGCUGUUUUGUGUAAUUAUUAAAAACAACCCAUGCUAUCGCCGGCUACUGUCUGGCUGCAGUGGUUUCCCUUCCUCCAUGGCUACCUAACUUGCGGCUGUCUACCUAACUUCCUCGGUUUGAUUGCCGCUGGGAAAACUGUUGUUUUCCCAGUCAUCCAACCUCAGCAGCCAGCUGCUGCCAAACCACUCAGCACCCCCAAAUUUCUGUGUCUAGCUGGGGUUACACUCUCACCAACCCACGCUCCGCUGAGGCUGGCUACCUUUUCCCUGGAGCUCAGUUGAGUCGCGUC